UGCCCCUGGGGCCUCAAAUUUCCUAAAUAAUUCUGCUGUUUCUAGCAAUUUGGAAUAUUUAGUACAUAUUCAGGAUAGAACACACUAUUGUAAGUUUUCUUGAGAUAUUUUUGUUUUUCUAGCUUGUAUUUAUUAUGCCGUGGUGACAAAAAAGCAGAUUUAGGUGUUGCGGCUUACUUUUGGGUUAUCGAAAGGACACAAAUACCCCAUAAAUAAUAUUCAGGAAGAUCUAUGAGUUUCAAUGACUGCGAAGAGUAAAUAUAAGCACUUCUUAACAAUUUAACUUACAAAUAUGCAAAUAUUAUGAUUUAAUUUUGUAUCCAGGACUUUAAGUAAACUAUGCAUACUGUAAACUGUGAAUUUAUG
rnacentral:lncRNA from 1 species